GGUGAGGAGGGUAUGUAUUGCAUUUCUCACCUUAACAUCCGAUCUCUAAUUUUGGCAUCGAUGAUGUGCACUGUAUUUAUAAUCUGCAAAGAUGGAUUCACAAAACAGUUAGCAAUAGCAGUUUAAAACCUCCUGUCAGAUAUAGGAAUUGUUGAUGCAACACUACUUCAGUAUGGUCUUUAUAAAGUUGUAUACUUGCAGUUGAACAUUGAGUGUUGGUGCGACAAAUGUAUGUAUCAGAUUUCAUGGGAUCAAGUUUUGUGAAUGGCUGUAUGGUAUAGAGAUGUGUUAUUAAAAUUAAAUAGAGCAUCAAUCAUGUUACAUCUAUACUGGCUACAAAAGAACAGAGCUGCUUUUGUUUGGACAGCUAGAGGUAGCAGAAAUGGAUUGCAAGACAAUAAUUUUAAGUAAUUCGAUGUAUACAUGUGAAGAUGCAUAUUUCCAAUGUGUUGAGUUGAAAAGAUCUCCAAGGCCAUAAAAGAAAGAAGUAAAGGAAGCAACAUAUCAAAAUGGAAGGUAAAAAUGUAGUCAACCUAUUAUGUGCAACCCAAAAAUGCCAUCAUAUGUAUCCAUAUGCAGAUAAGCACUACUUUGCAUCAUACCAAUUACAUCGCACAGGACCAACAGAAACAAUACGAUGAGGAGAGGGAUCACCAUCCACCAGAGCCCAGAGGAAUCGGCGGCCGAACGCCCACGGCUGGCUCGGGCGUUGGUCGGGCCGUCGGCGCUCCAGAUGCAGCUAGCGACUUGUGGAAGCGAGGCGCUCGCUUCGC
rnacentral:lncRNA from 1 species